UACGUAGGGGGCUAGCGUUGUCCGGAAUCAUUGGGCGUAAAGAGCGUGUAGGCGGCCCGGUAAGUCCGCUGUGAAAGUCGGGGGCUCAACCCUCGAAUGCCGGUGGAUACUGUCGGGCUAGAGUGCGGAAGAGGCGAGUGGAAUUCCCGGUGUAGCGGUGAAAUGCGCAGAUAUCGGGAAGAACACCCGUGGCGAAGGCGGCUCUCUGGGACGGUACUGACGCUGAGACGCGAAAAGCGUGGGGGAGCGAACAGG
rnacentral:rRNA from 1 species